rnacentral:rRNA from 1 species
GACGAACGCUGGCGGCGUGCCUAAUACAUGCAAGUCGAGCGAAGUUUUUCUGGUGCUUGCACUAGAAAAACUUAGCGGCGAACGGGUGAGUAACACGUAAAGAACCUGCCUCAUAGACUGGGACAACUAUUGGAAACGAUAGCUAAUACCGGAUAACAGCAUUAACUGCAUGGUUGAUGUUUAAAAGUUGGUUAUGCUAACACUAUGAGAUGGCUUUGCGCUGCAUUAGCUAGUUGGUGGGGUAAAGGCCUACCAAGGCGACGAUGCAUAGCCGACCUGAGAGGGUGAUCGGCCACACUGGGACUGAGACACGGCCCAGACUCCUACGGGAGGCAGCAGUAGGGAAUCUUCCGCAAUGGGCGAAAGCCUGACGGAGCAACGCCGCGUGAGUGAAGAAGGAUUUCGGUUCGUAAAGCUCUGUUGUUAGGGAAGAAUGAUUGUGUAGUAACUAUACACAGUAGAGACGGUACCUAACCAGAAAGCCACGGCUAACUACGUGCCAGCAGCCGCGGUAAUACGUAGGUGGCAAGCGUUGUCCGGAAUUAUUGGGCGUAAAGCGCGCGCAGGUGGUUUAAUAAGUCUGAUGUGAAAGCCCACGGCUCAACCGUGGAGGGUCAUUGGAAACUGUUAAACUUGAGUGCAGGAGAGAAAAGUGGAAUUCCUAGUGUAGCGGUGAAAUGCGUAGAGAUUAGGAGGAACACCAGUGGCGAAGGCGGCUUUUUGGCCUGUAACUGACGCUGAGGCGCGAAAGCGUGGGGAGCAAACAGG